GGCGGAUGUAGCCAAGUGGAUUAAGGCAAU
rnacentral:tRNA from 9 species